AGGACGAACGCUGGCGGCGUGCCUAACACAUGCAAGUCGAGCGGGGACAUGCGACGGAUAUGAAGUUUUCGGAUGGAAUUGAAGAUGUAUGUUCUAGCGGCGGACGGGUGAGUAACGCGUGAACAAUCUGUCCUUCACAGGGGGAUAACACAGCGAAAGUUGUACUAAUACCGCAUGAGACCACGGUGCCGCAUGGUACAGGGGUCAAAGGAGCAAUCCGGUGAAGGGUGAGUUCGCGUCCGAUUAGAUAGUUGGUGAGGUAACGGCCCACCAAGUCGACGAUCGGUAGCCGACCUGAGAGGGUGAUCGGCCACAUUGGGACUGAGACACGGCCCAAACUCCUACGGGAGGCAGCAGUGGGGAAUAUUGGGCAAUGGGGGAAACCCUGACCCAGCAACGCCGCGUGAGGGAAGAAGGCUUUCGGAUCGUAAACCUCUGUCCUAAGUGAAGAGGAAGAGACGGUAGCCUAGGAGGAAGCCCCGGCUAACUACGUGCCAGCCGCGGC
rnacentral:rRNA from 1 species